UCGGGUUGUAAAGCACUUUUGUCCGGAAAGAAAACCUCUGGGUUAAUACCCCGGGGGGAUGACGGUACCGGAAGAAUAAGCACCGGCUAACUACGUGCCAGCAGCGCGGUAAUCGUAGGGUGCGAGCGUUAAUCGGAAUUACUGGGCGUAAAGCGUGCGCAGGCGGUUCGUUAAGACAGAUGUGAAAUCCCCGGGCUUAACCUGGGAACUGCAUUUGUGACUGGCGGGCUAGAGUAUGGCAGAGGGGGGUAGAAUUCCACGUGUAGCAGUGAAAUGCGUAGAGAUGUGGAGGAAUACCGAUGGCGAAGGCAGCCCCCUGGGCCAAUACUGACGCUCAUGCACGAAAGCGUGGGGAGCAAACAGGAUUAGAUACCCUGGUAGUCCACGCCCUAAACGAUGUCAACUGGUUGUCGGGUCUUCAUUGACUUGGUAACGUAGCUAACGCGUGAAGUUGACCGCCUGGGGAGUACGGUCGCAAGAUUAAAACUCAAAGGAAUUGACGGGGACCCGCACAAGCGGUGGAUGAAGGUGGAUUAAUUCGAUGCAACGCGAAAAACCUUACCUACCCUUGACAUGUGUGGAACCCUGCCG
rnacentral:rRNA from 1 species